AACGUACGCUGGCGGCACGCCUAACACAUGCAAGUCGAACGAAGUAGCAAUACUUAGUGGCAGACGGGUGAGUAACAUGUAGGUAUCUGCCCUUUGGCCUGGAAUAACACGAGGAAACUUGUGCUAAUACCGGAUAAGUCUUUACGGAGAAAGCUUUAUGCACCAUUGGAUGAGCCUGCACUUGAUUAGUUUGUUGGUGGGGUAAUGGCCUACCAAGACUGUGAUCAAUAGCUGAUUUGAGAGGAUGAUCAGCCACAUUGGGACUGAGACACGGCCCAAACUCCUACGGGAGGCAGCAGUGGGGAAUCUUGCACAAUGGAGGAAACUCUGAUGCAGCGAUGCCGCGUGAGUGAAGAAGGCCCUUGGGUUGUAAAGCUCUUUCGUCGGGGAAGAAAAUGACUGUACCCGAAUAAGAAGGUCCGGCUAACUUCGUGCCAGCAGCCGCGGUAAUACGAAGGGACCUAGCGUAGUUCGGAAUUACUGGGCUUAAAGAGUUCGUAGGUGGUUGAAAAAGUUAGUGGUGAAAUCCCAGAGCUUAACUCUGGAACUGCCAUUAAAACUUUUCAGCUAGAGUAUGAUAGAGGAAAGCAGAAUUUCUAGUGUAGAGGUGAAAUUCGUAGAUAUUAGAAAGAAUACCAAUUGCGAAGGCAGCUUUCUGGAUCAUUACUGACACUGAGGAACGAAAGCAUGGGUAGCGAAGAGGAUUAGAUACCCUCGUAGUCCAUGCCGUAAACGAUGUGUGUUAGACGUUGAAAAUUUAUUUUCAGUGUCGCAGGGAAACCGAUAAACACACCGCCUGGGGAGUACGACCGCAAGGUUAAAACUCAAAUGAAUUGACGGGGACCCGCACAAGUAGUGGAGCAUGUGGUUUAAUUCGAAGAUACGCGCAGAACCUUACCAACACUUGACAUGUUCGUCGCGACUCUAAGAGAUUAGAGUUUUCGGUUCGGCCGGACGAAACACAGGUGCUGCAUGGCUGUCGUCAGCUCGUGUCGUGAGAUGUUGGGUUAAGUCCCGCAACGAGCGCAACCCUCACUUUUAGUUGCCAUCAUUAAGUUGGGCACUCUGAAAGAACUGCCAGUGAUAAGCUGGAGGAAGGUGGGGAUGACGUCAAGUCCUCAUGGCCCUUACGUGUUGGGCUACACACGUGCUACAAUGGUAUCUACAACAGGAAGCAAGACUGCGAAGUUAAGCAAAUCCCUAAAAGAUACCUCAGUUCGGAUUGCACUCUGCAACUCGAGUGCAUGAAGCUGGAAUUACUAGUAAUCGUGGAUCAGCGUGCCACGGUGAAUGCGUUCCCGGGUCU
rnacentral:rRNA from 1 species